rnacentral:tRNA from 1 species
GGCGGCGUAGCUCAACUGGCUAGAGCGCACGGCUCAUAUCCGUGAGGUUCGGGGUUCGAGUCCCUGCGCCGCUA